rnacentral:rRNA from 1 species
GAGUUUGAUCCUGGCUCAGAGCGAACGCUGGCGGCAGGCUUAACACAUGCAAGUCGAGCGGGCGUAGCAAUACGUCAGCGGCAGACGGGUGAGUAACACGUGGGAACGUACCUUUUGGUUCGGAACAACUGAGGGAAACUUCAGCUAAUACCGGAUAAGCCCUAACGGGGAAAGAUUAUCGCCGAAAGAUCGGCCCGCGUCUGAUUAGCUAGUUGGUGAGGUAAUGGCUCACCAAGGCGACGAUCAGUAGCUGGUCUGAGAGGAUGAUCAGCCACACUGGGACUGAGACACGGCCCAGACUCCUACGGGAGGCAGCAGUGGGGAAUAUUGGACAAUGGGGGCAACCCUGAUCCAGCCAUGCCGCGUGAGUGAUGAAGGCCCUAGGGUUGUAAGCUCUUUUGUGCGGGAAGAUAAUGACGGUACCGCAAGAAUAAGCCCCGACUAACUUCGUGCCAGCAGCCGCCGCGGUAAC